CUAAUUCAAGACAGUGUCUCGAUGUUUGCAUCGCACCCUUGAACCGCUCACUGCUCAGCAGGUGGAGGCACCGCUGGGUCUCUGACAAAACAGGUCAGUGCGGCUGGAGCCCCAUCGGCACCCGCCCCCCCGCCGCAGCGAGCUGGACCGGGCAAGGCUUUGAUCAGUGUCCCAUCUGGGGCGCCACAACUGUUACCCCAAAACCAGGAUUCUUUAUCCGGUGCACAUACAAAAGAGCCAAAUUUAGUACACGGGGAUGAGACACAGCCUGUCACAGAGCUGCACAAGUCUGGGUGCUGGAAUAAAGCCAGUGGGCUAGAAAGAAAAGUAACGGCCAUCACACACAAAACCUUAUCACCACAUUCACACAGUUAAUAGCUAAAUUGCUCAUCAUAACAAAAUGUACAUUUUAGGUCAAUCUGUGAUCUUACUGUACCAUGUAAGCGGCAAAAGACUUACGAAACUGCAACACAUUUAAAAAGGUACCUACAAAGAAAAAAAAAAGUUAGUACUAAAAGGCAUCUUGCAGAUAGUUCUGGAAGUUUUCUGUGAUUCAUUUGUUAUCAGCUAAUUCUCUCUCCGCUUGUUGAAGUUCAAACCAUUCUGCUGUAAAUCUGUGUAAAGUGAUGUAAUGACCUCCUGCUCAGUUUGCUUGUCUUUCGGGGCAGCUAUCAAUGCUGCUUCCAAAACAGCAGAGAUCUCAAAUCUGCUUUCUUUUGCCAAGUCCCUUGUUUGCUCAGGUACAGUAUCUGGAGACGACCAAUGUCCAGAAGCCCACCUAAGACCCUCAGGAGUCCGGCAAGCCUUAUAAUCUUCCAGUAAGCUCAACAUCAGGGAGCAGUCCAGGCCUGGCUUGACCUGGGAUGCCAUGACCCACUGCCGGAGAACGCGGCACAGACCGAUCCGUCCUCCUUUAGAGCCUCCGGCUCCUAUCCCCCCUCAAACCGCUUCUCACAGAAUAUCCCACUUCUGACACCAAAUGAACUGUCCCGUCCCAACAGGUGGGAUGAGGGAUGAGUUCACUCUUUGUUUCUCCUUAUCUCUUCGAGUUUUUCUAGUUUCUUUCUUAUAUCUCCCCAGGACUUUGUUACAAACUGGGGGGUUCACUCCUUGAGUCCAUUUAUCCCUUGCUUUUUCCUUGGGUGAACUUCUCUUCAUCCCAGAAUUCUAGCAUAAUCCCCACCAAGGGACUGUUGGGGUCUCCAAAAUUGGGGUCUUUGGAUGAAGGCUCCUUCAGCUUCGUCACAGUGAACUUUUUACCUGUGGCUCAUUAUGAUCAAUUGACUGGAACCCAAGCUGCCAAGUCGACUGAAAUCAGACUGGCGCCCCCUUUUUGCUGUAAAUCUUGGCUGUCUUGUCUCCUCAAGGUUACAGCUGGUGCUGUAAAACUUAUCUCGGCAUUUGAUGAGGUUCUGGUUUUUUUUCUUAACUGGUUACAUACAGCUCUAAACCAGAUAUUCGUUAUGUGGCUGUCCCGGUUUUGUUAAAAACAAGUUUCUCUUUCAGUGAAUUUUGCCUGUCAGCUAAAGCCUUCGUAUUAACUGCGUUUUCCUGGAGAACCAGACACAUGUUUUGGUAAACCUGGCAAUGGAAUGCAAACUUAUUGAUAAGCACGGAUGGACAUCUCGCGAGAGGGGCGACGAGAAGCAAGUGAGCAAGAAACUGACCAACUGUGUAUAACAUUCCAUUCACGUGAAUACUUCAUAUAAAAGUGGGAGAUCACGAGGAUCUCGUCCCUUUUGCCUUUUUGCCCUUUUCCCUUCUGCUUAUGGCCGACCUUAGGAGAGGACCUUGCUAGUCAUCCCUGCGAACUGAGGCCUAGUGAGAGACUGAAUCCAGCUCCGGUUGGCUGCAGAGUCUAAUCCAGGACUUUGGUUGCCGGCUCUGCAGUUGCUGAGACUUUCAAGAUUGGUUUUGUUCAGAGCCCGUGCCUCAUUUGGUUAGAUCUGUAAACACUGAACAUCUCCUCAGCAGGAAUCACAGCUGCAUUUCUCACAGCCAGAACCUGGGCCACAUGUGGCAGCGAUGGGGGAGCUGUAAGACCCGAAAGCCCAUGGCAAGCACAGCUGAAGCUGCACGGCUGCCCUGGGCAGCUCUUGCUGCUCCCUGGGUGCUCCCCCAGGGGAUGUCCCCUCCCUCUGGGCUCCGCGCUGCUGUCGUGCCGCCCUCAGACCUGCGAGAAGAUGAGCAACUUUAAGGAGGCGCGUGUCAGCCUGGCAGAGGACAUGCAUGCAAUGCAGGAGGCGCAUUCCAGCCUGGCAGAGGACGUGCAUGCAAUGCAGGAGGUGCAUUCCAGCCUGGCAGAGGACAUGCAUGCAAUGCAGGAGGUGCAUUCCAGCCUGGUAGAGGACAUGCGGGAGAUCCAGGAGAUGCUUGGCCUGGUGAGGACAGGGCUUCCCUCCAGGAUCUGUGUGAGGAGAUGAGCAAGUUUAAGGAGGUGCAGUCUGGCCUGGCAGAGGACAUGCGGGCCAUGCAGAAGGCGCGUUCUGGCCUGGCAGAGGACAUCCAGGAGAUACAGGAGACGCUUGGCCUGGAAGAACCUGUCCGUGCCCAGGGCUAUGCUGGAGGUGGUUCAGCUUGGUGUGGUGGAAGCAGAUCAGCACAGCGCCUGCCUGGUUGGACCAAUGCAUCUCAUUGUCCUUCUGUCCCAUGCUGAAGGUUCCUCAAGAGCUCAGCUCAGGCAUCCAGAUAAGAGGCAAGUCUCCAAAAUGGCCAGUGCCCAGUGUCCAAAGGACUUCAGGAAACCUGACCCAUCGCUCUGUCCUCUCCAUAAGCCCAGCCUGAAGACAGCCAUGUCCUCAGGCCAUCACGCACCGAGCGUCAGGCUCAGAGCUGCAGCCCCUGUCUUCCUCAGGGACUGGGCAAAGCUGCUCCUCUCCCAGCAGCUCCAUUCAGCUCCCAUCAGCUGCCACCAGUGAGAUGCAUCAAAAUGAGGGGCAGCUGUGGGGGGAAGGAGCAGGGGCAGCUGAGUCACCUCUCAGGAUGGGUGUAAAUGCUCCCAGUCCCUUUGAAUAUGUCAGUGCGGAGACGAGAUGCAAGGGCACAAACGUCCAUUUUUUCUGCUCGGAUGAGUCCUGAGUUGACUUUUCCAGCGCAGGCAGCAGCUCUCGGUUUCAUCCCCGGUGCUUCUGUGAGACAUUUACCAACCUCUGGGACCCCUGAGGGCCACAGCAAAGUUCACUCUCUGCUGCUUGUUUGGUUUCUCUUUGCUGCUGCUGUGCAUUGGGUCUGACAGAACAGCAAGGAAGGCAUCUGAGGAUGCUGCUGGCUGGGGAGCGAAGGCUUUCAGAUCCAGCCCUGGCACAGAGAGCUGCUGUCCCCAAGGAGGUGACAUGCUCCUCAUGAGGCCGGUCCCUUGAGACCUGCCUCAUGCCUGCAGACCAGCGUGGAAAUCACUGGACACAGCCAGAGAAACAGAGAAUCAUAGAACCAUAGAAUGCCCUGAGUUGGAAGGGACCCACAGGGGUCACUGAGUCCAACUCCUGUCCCUGCACAGGACAACUCCAGAAUUCACACCACGUGUCUCAGGGCGUUGUCCAGUCACUUCUUGAAUAUUUUCACUCUUGGGGCUGUGACACCUCCCUGGGGAGCCUGUUCAGUGUCCAGCACCUCUGGGUGAAGAACCUUUUCCUCAUGUCCCACCUGACCUUCCGCUGGCCCAUCUUCUGCCGUUCCCUGGGCUCUGUUACUGGUCACUAGAGGGAUCAGCUGAACCUCUCUGCUCCUGCUCGUGUACCACGGGGCUGCAUCCCAUCGGUGGGGACAUCCUCCUGCCUGCUUUGCUGGCACCUUAGCUCCUUCCCUGGAGGAGCAGCCCACUCUGCCCCUCCCUGGCAGUUAUUAUCCCCGCUUCACAGACUGAAUACAACGUGAUCAUUAAAGUGUAGGCACAUGGUGGCUGCAGAAAGUUGCAUCAGCUUUUACUUUUCCUUGCCAGCUGAAAUGCAAACUGUCACUCAUCUCCCACUGCUCCGGGGAUCCAUUCAGAAGAACACGAGACAUGUCGUGGCCCACACUGCACUUACAUGUCAAGGUUUCAGAAAGAAAUGAGCUCCGCUUCCACAUAUAGCAGCUGAGAAACAAUUACUGCCCUUGCCUCUGCAACAAAGGUUUUCACCAUUGUUUUCUUCUGCACUGGCGUCACACUGCACAGGGUCAUUUUUCUGCUGAUGGGUGGUAACUCACUGAGCUUCAGUGGCCCAACAUGGGGCUGAGCUCAAGAGGCUCGAGGGAAAUUGGGUUUCCAGGAUGAGUUCUUGCUGAGACCUGAACCAAAGUACCGUGUUUCUAAUUGACUUUAUUCCUAUCAAUUCGAGCCUGUAGAGAAAGUGCCAGCAAAGACACAGAGGGAAUGUCCUCAGUUGACUCUGCACGCGGUGCUCCCGCCCUGAACUCCCCCUUCCUCUGCUGCCCCAACGAGCAGCAGCACCAGCCCUGCAGUACAUCUCUUUUCCUUGUCGCUCACGAAAGCGCAGAUUUGGGGAAGGGAGGGGAUUCAUCUGUGUCUUCCUCACUCUCAAAGGGAUCAGGUGCCUGAGCAGCCUCCAGGCAUUAUAAACACAGACCAACUGCACUCAGACUUUCCUGGAGGAUGCAUUAGCUGAAUCCACUUCUCUGGGCUCAGGACAGGAAAAACCAGUGGAGAGGAGGGAGCAAGUACGUGAUCAAUGGUCUCUUUGAUGCACAAAUCUGUAAACUUA